rnacentral:rRNA from 1 species
GCUUACGGCCACACCGGCCUGAGUACGCCUGAUCUCGUCUGAUCUCGGAAGCUAAGCAGGGUCGGGCCAUGGUUAGUACUUGGAUGGGAGACGCCCUAGGAAUACCAGGUUCUGUAAGCU